UGUUUAAAACAGAAAGUGAAGGUGAUCCUCUCCCUACACCUAUGCAACAACCAGAUGACUGCAGAGCAAAUAUUGGAUGACUUAAAACAACAUUGCUUCAGCUAUCCCCCAGUCCAAAUGUUUAAGUGUAGGGUGUUGAUGUUUGUUGCACCAGCUACCGACAGCAGCUGCGCUGCUCAUGCCCCUCUCCCCGGAAGUCUCUGAAGGAGCUGUCACGAGAGAUGGGGCGGGAAGUUUGGACCCCAGUAUGGCGCACACUGUCCUUGUGCUGCCGGCAUUUGCUCAGGAGCUCUUCGUAUUUCUCCAGCAGGGCAUGAUACUGCUCAUCUACUUCUCUUAGGAUGGACAUGCCCCGUUUGCGCACGUUGUUAGCAUGCAGCGUGUAAUUGCCCUCAUGCCGGCUCACAGCAUCCUUGGUCACGAUGGCAUUGAGUGCUGUAUCGCUGCAGCUUUUCCGAACAGGAUGGUUUGGGGAAGGUGUCAUUGACGGCCCAUGAUUUUUCCCUCCCUCUUCCUCAGAGAGGUCGAUGUAGUCUGCUUCUGGGGCAUUAUUCAGCGGCUCAAGGAGGGCCUCAGACAAGUUGUCUUCUCUGCUGAGCAGAUACUUCUUGACUUGUUUCAUCUGUUGUAGCUCCAGGAGCUCUGCUUCCAGUUCCUUGAUGCGCAGUUUGCAGUUCUCCAUCUCACACACUCGCUGCUCGAGGUCUGAGUACUCCUGAAUAACGGAGGUGUAUUCUCGCUCAACCCUCUCCUUCCGCUGCUUCUCCUGGUUGACUUGGGACCUCAGGGAGUUCACCAUGGCUUGGAGACGCUCGUUCUCCCGCUCCAAUGGCUUCUGGUUGAACUCCAUCGAAGAGCUUUGGACCUGGAAUGCAUCCUCAUACCUGAAAGAGAGAAAAAGACUCUUGAGAGAGACUAGCCAAAUGACAGCCUAUGAAGGGCUCGGAUUGCGGCUUAUUGUCGUGUAAGUAACUCCACAGAUGCCCAGAGAAAAAAUAGCCAAGUGAAUAUUUGACAUCAUGGAGAGAGAGAUUUUUCCUUCCAUGUGUCCAGAACCACAACGGGCGGCAGAGGCCCUGCUGGACAGGGAGACCAAUCUAUGUACCAGAGAACUUACUGUUUGAUCUGACAACACUGAUGGAAGACAGAAGGGAAAUGAAACCCUAAAAGGUGAGAGACUCAUCCCGUCAACAGACAAACCACCAACACUGUUUUGAAGCAGUGAAGAAUGUUCAUGUGCUACCAGUCUGAUUGAAAGUAGGCACCUUUGGAUUUUUCCUUCUGAAGUUCAUAAGGUACUUGCUGCAUCUACCUUCUGACUCUAGAACAAGAUGGGGAAAGGAGCUGUUUUGGUUUGGGGGUAUUUGCCCACUUUCCAUUCUCCUUCAUGCCCAAUAACACUGGCAUAAUCUAGAGGGAGGAACUGUUGUGAAGGCAGAGCCCCAGUGAUCCUGCAGGAUCUCCUGGAGAAGAAAGGAAUUGGUAUGAUGGAGUGGAAAAGCACCUCAGGAAACUGCAAGCUGCUUUUUCUCCACGCCUGCUGGACUUGUGAAAGGACUUGUGUUCAGGUGCUCACCUUUGCUUGCAAAGGGAAGGUGUAAAUACAGAAAAUGUUUAUGAAAAACUGUGGAAAGCUUUCUUUUCAUAAAGGUGGAAAGAAACUUAUAA